CUCUCUCUCUCUCUCUCUCUCUCUCUCUCUCUCUCUCAAUGCAAAGUUUCUUGCUUUCGGUCGAUUGGUGUUUCUUCUUGGAUGCAAUGAAAUGCCGAAGUAUUUCGAGAGGCUCAUCCCGGAAUUUGAAACCCUAACUGGGUUUGAAAUAUUCUUCAUCGAACUGUUGUCUCGUCGGAGGCUUGCAGCUCAUUCCUGGAGAUUGAGGCAAAGAACCUCCCCUGGUAUUGGUAGACCUCCUCCCACCCGGUUAGAUUUCCAUACCGGGUUAUAUCAGGUAUCUUUCUCCAAUUCCUG